GCUGGGACUCAAAGCCAGGCCACCUGACUGCAGACACCAGACUCUCCCCACUCCAUGUCCUCUAGGUGGUCUCCCCUGGAAAGUUUCUCCGACUCCUGGCAAUGCUCGAAAGCCUUCGCUCUAGAGUUUCGAAGAGCCCAGGAAAGUUAUUUACCCUCUUGGCACCCCAGUUAUCUCAUCAGCAGAAUGGGAAGAAUGAGGUUAUGGUAAAGAUUUAGAGCGCAUAAUGUAUGGAGAGCUUUGAAACUGUGGAAGGCAUCUGGUAAGUGCUCAGUAGAAGUUAUAUUGUUAUUGUU
rnacentral:lncRNA from 1 species